rnacentral:rRNA from 1 species
CCCUUAGAUGUUCUGGGCUGCACGCGCGCUACACUGACGCACGCAACAGGUGCCUGCUCCGAGAGGACUGGGUAAUCAUUUGAGUGUGCGUCGUGAUGGGGAUAGAAUAUUGUAAUUAUUACUCUUCAACGAGGAAUUCCUAGUAAGCGCCAGUCAGCAGCUUGCGCUGAUUACGUCCCUGCCCUUUGUACACACCGCCCGUCGCUCCUACCGAUGGGUGAUCCGGUGAAGCCUCGGGAUUGUGGUUCUUGCCGCUUUAUUGUGGCGUGACCGCGAGAACUUGUCUAAACCUUAUCAUCUAGAGGAAGGUGAAGUCGUAACA